rnacentral:lncRNA from 10 species
GUUUUUACCUCACAGCUGACACUUAUAAAGGAGUUCCAAGUGCUUCCGCCAACUCCUCCUACCAGCAACUGUGAAAACAACGGCCACAAGGAGUAAUGCUGCUUUUCACACAGAAAGGGCUUCUACUGUGCCUGACCUUAAGACAGGAAAAGUAGGGGAGCUAAGGAAGCUACCUACACCGCCCUCACCCCCAGUAGCCAGGCUCAGGAAGGAAGAGGCACAGCGGUGUGAAUGGAUGGAGAAGAGGAGGCUGGUAGGCUGAGCCCCUGGCUCCUGGAACGAACACACAGCCAUGGCAGAGGAGAAUGUGGCUUGAAUAGGUUCCAUGACUUGUACAAGACCACAGCUGGUACAUGAUGAAGCAAGGACAAGACACGGGCAUCUGACCUCAAGAGUCUCUCCAAUCAUGAAAUACCUGUAUGAGUUAUCUAUUGCUGCAUAACAAAUUGCCCCAAUAUUUAGCAGCUUAGGAGCAGGAUUGCUGGAAUGGUGGGAUAAAACUUAGUGGCUUAAAACAACAUCUGUUAUCUCACAGUUUCUGUGGGUCAGGAAUCUGUGCAUGGCUUAGCAGGGUGACUCUACCUCACCGUCUCUCAUGAGGCUACUAUCAAGGUGACAGGCAAGGCUGCAGCCAUCUCAAGGCUGGACUGGGGAAGGGUCCACUCCCAUUCUCUCUCUUUGGUUGUUAGCAGGAUUUAGUCCCUCACUGGCACUAGGCCAGAGGCCACCCUCUGUCCCUUGCCACAUGGACCACUCCCCAGGGCACACACAGCAGCUUGCUUUCUCAGAGCAAGUGAACAAGAAGAACCAGAGAGAAAGAGUGUGCAAAAUGGAAGUCAUGGUCUUUUGUAACCUAAUUUUGGAAGUGACAGCUCCUUACUAUUGGCAGAGUUGAUUCAUUAGAAGUGAGCCACCAGGUCCAGCCCUUACUCAAGGGGUAGUGAUUACACAGAGGUGUCGAUACCAGUAGGUCGGGAUCAUUGGGAGGCAUUUCAGAAGCCGCCUACCACCGCGCCUUUCUCAGACAACUGCCCACCCCAUCACUCCCAGGGGCAGGCUAAAUGGUGUGCUUGUGUUCUGU